AUGCUCGGUUUCCACAGGCCGGGGUUCAGGAAUGGAAUUCCCCAAUUUCCUGCUCCCGCUAAAACCGCGCUGCCACUCGCUGCCCUCCCGCCUCCCAUGGAAAGCACAAAAGGCAAAGAUCCUGAGCUGGGAUUGGAACAAUUUAAUGGGAACAGAAACAGGAUAAGGAACAAAAAGGAGCAGCAACAAUAUUGAUAACAGGAGGAAUAAGACAAAGAAAUUAUUUACAGGGAAAACUGCAACAGCACCGACCAGCUCUUCCUGACUACACAGAAUAGAAAAAAUCCCCGGUCCCAUUCGGGUUCCCUGUCCCCAUUACCGGUCCCUAUCCCCAUUCCCGCUCCCUGUCCCCAUUCCCUGUCCCCAUUCCCAUUCCCUGUCCCCAUUCCCGCUCCCUGUCCCCAUUCCCAUUCCCUGUCCCCAUUCCCGCUCUCGGUCUCCAUUCCCUAUCCCCAUUCCCGCUCCCUGUCCCCAUUCCCAUUCCCUGUCCCCAUUCCCGCUCCCUGUCCCCAUUCCCGUCCCCGUUCCCUCUCGCCGGCCGCCGCCGCCAUCGCUCCAGCCCCGCCCCCGGCCCUCACGUGACCGAGGAAACCCCGCGCUGCUCCCGCCCACCAAUCCCAGCGCGCGAUCGCUCAGUGAUUUGCAUAACCACGCCCUUCGUCUUGCCCCCGCCCCCCCGCCGGCUGCAGCCGCGUCCGGGCGCUGUUUGCUCCCAGUUCCCUCCCAGCGCUCCCAGUCAGAGCGGUGCCGGGAGGCAAAGCGCUCCCAGUUCCCUCCCAGCGCUCCCAGUCAGAGCGGUGCCGGGAGGCAAAGCGCUCCCAGUUCCCUCCCAGUGCUCCCAGUCAGAGCGGUGCCGGGAGGGAAAGCGCUCCCAGUUCCCUCCCAGUGCUCCCAGUCAGAGCGGUGCCGGGAGGGAAAGCGCUCCCAGUUCCCUCCCAGUGCUCCCAGUCAGAGCGGUGCCGGGAGGGAAAGCGCUCCCAGUUCCCUCCCAGUGCUCCCAGUCAGAGCGGUGCCGGGAGGGAAAGCGCUCCCAGUGCCCUCCCAGUCAGAGCGGUGCCGGGAGGGAAAGCGCUCCCAGUUCCCUCCCAGUGCUCCCAGUCAGAGCGGUGCCGGGAGGGAAAGCGCACCCAGUUCCCUCCCAGUGCUCCCAGUCAGAGCGGUGCCGGGAGGGAAAGCGCUCCCAGUUCCCUCCCAGUGCUCCCAGUCAGAGCGGUGCCGGGAGGGAAAGCGCUCCCAGUUCCCUCCCAGUGCUCCCAGUCAGAGCGGUGCCGGGAGGGAAAGCGCUCCCAGUUCCCUCCCAGUGCUCCCAGUCAGAGCGGUGCCGGGAGGGAAAGCGCUCCCAGCUCCUUCCCGGUGCUCUCAGGAUCGCUCCCAGUGCCGCACGGGCCGGGGCCGCUUUGGGAACCCCCUCAGGACAGAGCGCGGCCGCUUUUGGGUGUCGGCACCGCCCGGGCCGGGCUGGGAGCGGAGGAGGAGCGGGAGGAAGAGGAGGGACAGAGAAGGAGGAAGAGGAGGAGCUGCGGGAGGAAAAGCAGCAGCACCUGGAGAAUCGCACUGUUGUUCGCAGCUGCCCCGGCUCCCGCUGCAUCGCCCUCCUCGGAACCCGCAGGAUUUCCUAUUCCCAAACCUUGGCCCAAUUGAGAAGGAGG
ensembl:lncRNA